UGCCAGACUCCUACGGGAGGCAGCAGUGAGGAAUAUUGGUCAAUGGGCUAAGGCCUGAACCAGCCAAGUCGCGUGAGGGAAGACGGUCCUAUGGAUUGUAAACCUCUUUUGUCGGGGAGCAACGAGGCCACGUGUGGCCGAAGUGAGAGUACCCGAAGAAAAAGCAUCGGCUAACUACGUGCCAGCAGCCGCGGUAAUACGUAGGGUGCGAGCGUUAAUCGGAAUUACUGGGCGUAAAGGGUGUGCAGGCGGCUGAGUAAGACAGAUGUGAAAUCCCCGGGCUUAACCUGGGAACCGCAUAUGUGACUGCUUGGCUAGAGUGCGUCAGAGGGAGGUGGAAUUCCACGUGUAGCAGUGAAAUGCGUAGAUAUGUGGAAGAACACCGAUGGCGAAGGCAGCCUCCUGGGACGCAACUGACGCUCAUACACGAAAGCGUGGGGAGCAAACAGGAUUAGAUACCCGUGUAC
rnacentral:rRNA from 1 species